rnacentral:rRNA from 1 species
CAGUCGCCGCGGGAACACGAAGGGUGCAAGCGUUACUCGGAAUUACUGGGCGUAAAGCGUGUGUAGGUGGUUGUUUAAGUCUGUCGUGAAAGCCCUGGGCUCAACCUGGGAAUUGCGAUGGAUACUGGGCGACUAGAGUGCGGUAGAGGAUAGUGGAAUUUCCGGUGUAGCAGUGAAAUGCGUAGAGAUCGGAAGGAACAUCUGUGGCGAAGGCGACUAUCUGGGCCAACACUGACACUGAGACACGAAAGCGUGGGGAGCAAACAGGAUUAGAUACCCCUGUAGUCCCUGUCUCUUAUAC